rnacentral:rRNA from 1 species
AUUGAACGCUGGCGGCAGGCCUAACACAUGCAAGUCGAGCGGAGCGGCGGACGGGUGAGUAAUGCCUAGGAAUCUGCCUGGUAGUGGGGGAUAACGUCCGGAAACGGGCGCUAAAACCGAAUACUAUCGGAUGAGCAUAGGUCGGAUUAGCUAGUUGGUGGGGUAAAGGCCUACAAGGGCGACGACCCGUAACUGGUCUGAGAUGAUGAUCAGUCAAACUGGAACGGAUACACGGUCCAGACUCCUACGGGAGGCAGCAGUGGGGAAUAUUGGACAAUGGGCGAAAGCCUGAUCCAGCCAUGCCGCGUGUGUGAAGAAGGUCUUCGGAUUGUAAAGCACUUUAAGUUGGGAGGCGUUACCAACAGAAUAAGCACCGGCUCACUUCGUGCCAGCAGCCGCGGUAAUUC